UACGGGGGGGGCAAGCGUUGUUCGGAAUUACUGGGCGUAAAGGGCUCGUAGGUGGCCAACUAAGUCAGACGUGAAAUCCCUCGGCUUAACCGGGGAACUGCGUCUGAUACUGGAUGGCUUGAGUUUGGGAGAGGGACGCGGAAUUCCAGGUGUAGCGGUGAAAUGCGUAGAUAUCUGGAGGAACACCGGUGGCGAAGGCGGCAUCCUGGACCGACACUGACGCUGAGGAGCGAAAGCCAGGGGAGCAAACGGG
rnacentral:rRNA from 1 species